rnacentral:tRNA from 1 species
GCGAGUGUGGUUUAGUGGUAGAGCUUCUGCUUCCCAAGCAGAUAGUAUGGGGUCGAUUCCCGUUACCCACUCCA